rnacentral:rRNA from 1 species
GAUGAACGCUAGCUACAGGCUUAACACAUGCAAGUCGAGGGGCAUCAGGAAGAAAGCUUGCUUUCUUUGCUGGCGACCGGCGCACGGGUGAGUAACACGUAUCCAACCUGCCCUUUACUCGGGGAUAGCCUUUCGAAAGAAAGAUUAAUACCCCGAUAGGGACUAAUUAAUUCCGACUUACCGUCGGUUUACUAGGUUUUACUUAAAGGUUAAUUUUAAACCGGGGUAAAAGGUUACCGGUUAAAGGGGGGAAUUGGGGGACGUUUCCGACG